GAUGAACGCUAGCGGCAGGCUUAAUACAUGCAAGUUGAACGGGCCAAGGUCUUCGGGCUUUGGUUAGUGGCGCACGGGUGCGUAACGCGUACACAACAUACCCUUUACGGGGGGAUAGCGGCGGGAAACUGCCAGUAAUACCCCAUGUCCUUGUGGAUUGGCAUCUAUUUACAAGGAAAGUUGAGGCGGUAAAGGAUUGGUGUGCGUCCAAUUAGCUAGUUGGCGGGGUAACGGCCCACCAAGGCAGUGAUCGGUAGGGGGUGUGAGAGCAUGCCCCCCCACACGGGUAUUGAGACUCGGACCCGACUCCUACGGGAGGCAGCAGUAAGGAAUAUUGGACAAUGGGCGGAAGCCUGAUCCAGCCAUGCCGCGUGCAGGAAGACGGCGCUCAGCGUUGUAAACUGCUUGUGGGUGGAAACAAUAACUUCGACGUGUUCGGAGCUUGAGGGUACCAUCAGAAUAAGCACCGGCUAACUCCGUGCCAGCAGCCGCGGUAAUACGGAGGGUGCAAGCGUUAUCCGGAAUCACUGGGUUUAAAGGGUGCGUAGGCUGUUCGGUAAGUCAGUUGUGAAAUUCCCCGGCUUAAC
rnacentral:rRNA from 1 species